UCUCCGUAGGUGAUCCUGCGGAGGGAUCAUUACUGAGUGAGGGCCCUCUGGGUCCAACCUCCCACCCGUGUUUAUUGUACCUUGUUGCUUCGGUGCGCCCGCCUCACGGCCGCCGGGGGGCUUCUGCCCCCGGGUCCGCGCGCACCGGAGACACCAUUGAACUCUGUCUGAAGAUUGCAGUCUGAGCAUAAACUAAAUAAGUUAAAACUUUCAACAACGGAUCUCUUGGUUCCGGCAUCGAUGAAGAACGCAGC
rnacentral:misc_RNA from 1 species